UAACCACCGGUCCAUCCAGCCCCAUGCUUGC
rnacentral:piRNA from 1 species